AUUGAACGCUGGCGGCAGGCCUAACACAUGCAAGUCGAGCGGAUGAGAGGAGCUUGCUCCUCGAUUCAGCGGCGGACGGGUGAGUAAUGCCUAGGAAUCUGCCUAGUAGUGGGGGACAACGUUUCGAAAGGAACGCUAAUACCGCAUACGUCCUACGGGAGAAAGUGGGGGAUCUUCGGACCUCACGCUAUUAGAUGAGCCUAGGUCGGAUUAGCUAGUUGGUAGGGUAAAGGCCUACCAAGGCGACGAUCCGUAACUGGUCUGAGAGGAUGAUCAGUCACACUGGAACUGAGACACGGUCCAGACUCCUACGGGAGGCAGCAGUGGGGAAUAUUGGACAAUGGGCGAAAGCCUGAUCCAGCCAUGCCGCGUGUGUGAAGAAGGCCCUCGGGUCGUAAAGCACUUUAAGUUGGGAGGAAGGGCUUACAGCGAAUACCUGUGAGUUUUGACGUUACCGACAGAAUAAGCACCGGCUAACUUCGUGCCAGCCGCCGCGGUAAUAC
rnacentral:rRNA from 1 species